CCUACGGGGUGCAGCAGUGAGGAAUAUUGGUCAAUGGCCGGAAGGCUGAACCAGCCAUGCCGCGUGAAGGUCAGUGCCCUAUGGGCGUUAAACUUCUUUUGUGCGGGAGCAAUAAUGGUCACGUGUGGCCAGACGAGAGUACCGUACGAAUAAGCAUCGGCUAACUCCGUGCCAGCAGCCGCGGUAAUACGGGGGAUGCAAGCGUUAUCCGGGUUUAUUGGGUUUAAAGGGUGAGUAGGCUGUGAGGUAAGUCAGCGGUGAAAUGCCCUCGCUCAACGGGGUGAAGUGCCAUUGAUACUGGCUGGCUGGAAUGCGGAUGCCGUGGGAGGAAUGUGUGGUGUAGCGGUGAAAUGCAUAGAUAUCACACAGAACACCGAUUGCGAAGGCAUCUCACGAAUCCGCGAUUGACGCUGAUGCACGAAAGCGUGGGUAUCAAACAGGAUUAGAUACCCUUGUAGUC
rnacentral:rRNA from 1 species